GCCAUUUUAUUUUAUAUUAGAACAAAAAUACAUUAUAAUAAUGCAUAGAGAUCCGAUCAAUCCUGAUGGAUAUAAAUGGAAGGUGUAUCUUAAUAAUACUACCCAAUAUCGGCUACGCUCUACGAUGGGUCAAGUUUCUUCAUGCCUUGUUAAUGCAAGGUUACAGAAUACAAUUCGAAAAUUAAAUGUGAAUGAUGCAACAGAAUGAAAACAAAAAGUUUCACUCGCACCUGUUAGGUGAGGUACUCUGCCUU
rnacentral:lncRNA from 1 species